AUUGAACGCUGGCGGCAUGCUUUACACAUGCAAGUCGAACGGUAACAGGCCUUCGGGUGCUGACGAGUGGCGAACGGGUGAGUAAUGCAUCGGAACGUACCCAGAGGUGGGGGAUAACGCAGCGAAAGCUGUGCUAAUACCGCAUGUGAUCUGAGGAUGAAAGCGGGGGACCGAGCAGCAAUGUUUGGCCUCGCGCCUUUGGAGCGGCCGAUGUCGGAUUAGCUAGUUGGGGGGGUAAAGGCCUACCAAGCCAACGAUCCGUAGCUGGGCUGAGAGGACGACCAGCCACACUGGGACUGAGACACGGCCCAGACUCCUACGGGAGGCAGCAGUGGGGAAUUUUGGACAAUGGGCGCAAGCCUGAUCCAGCAAUGCCGCGUGCGGGAAGAAGGCCUUCGGGUUGUAAACCGCUUUUGGCAGGAACGAAACGGUGUCCGCUAAUACCGGGCGCUAAUGACGGUACCUGCAGAAUAAGCACCGGCUAACUACGUG
rnacentral:rRNA from 1 species